rnacentral:rRNA from 1 species
GUGGGGAAUAUUCCGCAAUGGACGAAAGUCUGACGGAGCAACGCCGCGUGAGUGAUGAAGGUUUUCGGACUGUAAAGCUCUGUUGUUUAGGACGAAAGUGCCUGUUGCAAAUAGUUACAGGUAUUGACGGUACUGAACGAGGAAGCCACGGCUAACUACGUGCCAGCAGCCGCGGUAAUACGUAGGUGGCAAGCGUUGUCCGGAAUUAUUGGGCGUAAAGAGCAUGUAGGCGGGAAUCUAAGUCUGUUGUUAAAAUGCGGGGCUCAACCCCGUAUUGCGAUGGAAACUGGGUUUCUUGAGUGCAGGAGAGGAAAGGGGAAUUCCCAGUGUAGCGGUGAAAUGCGUAGAUAUUGGGAGGAACACCAGUGGCGAAGGCGCCUUUCUGGACUGUGUCUGACGCUGAGAUGCGAAAGCCAGGGUAGCGAACGGGAUUAGAUACCCUAGUAGUCC